rnacentral:misc_RNA from 1 species
GUUAUAAAGAAAUUUUUUCAAUUUCAUCGUUGAACUUCUAUUCUGUCUGUAGUUUGGUCAUCAUUGCCAAAAUUGUAAAUAUUUUGGUGAACUACCUCGCAAGUUUCCAUCAUGGUUUACUGCUUUUUUGUAUAAUUUAGGUAGGGUAAAUUGCACCAAUCGUCCCUUAACUUAGUGGUUAUUUCAUUUUAGUCACUCAAUUUCAAUUUGUCAAAAUAAAAUCUCUCAUUUGUUUAAGAAAAAAGUUCUCCUGACCUGUAACAACCGGUUUCUAGGCUAAAAAGAAUGAAAUUAUUAUUUUUUUCCUCAUUUCCUUUUUUU